UGGCACGGCCUGCAUGCCAGCCCAACCCCCUUGAAAUAGGCCAUGCCAUGAUAUGGCCCAUUUAGGCAUGGCCCAUUUAGGAUUGUUUAAAAUUUAUAAAAAAUAUACAUGAAUAAAUUAAAAAAAAGUUGGAGACUAGGAAUUUAAAUAUAAAGUCACCUUAUUAGGUGGGGGGUUUGACGUGGACCUCUAUCAAUUUAUUAAUAAAUAUCAAAAUAGUACAAGG
rnacentral:lncRNA from 1 species